rnacentral:rRNA from 1 species
CGGAUCGGAGUCUGCAACCCGACUCCGUGAAGCUGGAUUCGCUAGUAAUCGCGCAUCAGCCAUGGCGCGGUGAAUACGUUCCCGGGCCCUUGUACACACCGCCCGUCAAGCCAUGGAAGCCGGGGGCGCUUGAAGUGCGUUGCCGCAAGGCGCGCCCUAGAGCGAAACCGGUGACUGGGGCUAAGUCGUAACAAGGUAAC